UCCACUGUAGUCAAGUGGUUAAGGCGAUAGAUUAGGAAUCUAUUACUCUGUGAGUAUGCAGGUUCAAAUCCUGCGGGUGUUC